UACGUAGGGUCCGAGCGUUGUCCGGAAUUAUUGGGCGUAAAGAGCUCGUAGGCGGUUUGUCACGUCUGCUGUGAAAGCCCGAGGCUCAACCUCGGGUCUGCAGUGGGUACGGGCAGACUUGAGUGCGGUAGGGGAGAACGGAAUUCCUGGUGUAGCGGUGGAAUGCGCAGAUAUCAGGAGGAACACCGAUGGCGAAGGCAGUUCUCUGGGCCGUUACUGACGCUGAGGAGCGAAAGCGUGGGGAGCGAACAGG
rnacentral:rRNA from 1 species